GAUGAACGCUGGCGGCGUGCUUAACACAUGCAAGUCGAACGGAAAGGCUCCUGCUUGCAGGGGUACUCGAGUGGCGAACGGGUGAGUAACACGUGGGUGAUCUGCCCUGCACUUCGGGAUAAGCCUGGGAGACUGGGUCUAAUACCGGAUAGGACCACAUUUUGGAUGGUGUGGUGGAAAGUUUUUCGGUGUGGGAUGAGCUCGCGGCCUAUCAGCUUGUUGGUGGGGUAAUGGCCUGCCAAGGCGUCGACGGGUAGCCGGCCUGAGAGGGUGUACGGCCACAUUGGGACUGAGAUACGGCCCAGACUCCUACGGGAGGCAGCAGUGGGGAAUAUUGCACAAUGGGCGCAAGCCUGAUGCAGCGACGCCGCGUGGGGGAUGACGGCCUUCGGGUUGUAAACUCCUUUCGCUAGGGACGAAGCGUUUUUGUGACGGUACCUGGAGAAGAAGCACCGGCUAACUACGUG
rnacentral:rRNA from 1 species